rnacentral:rRNA from 1 species
UGGACCUCAGAUCAGGCAAGAUCACCCGCUGAGUUUAAGCAUAUCACUAAGCGGAGGAAAAGAAACUAACGAGGAUUCC